rnacentral:rRNA from 1 species
AGUGAACGCUGGCGGUAGGCCUAACACAUGCAAGUCGAACGGCAGCACAGUAAGAGCUUGCUCUUACGGGUGGCGAGUGGCGGACGGGUGAGGAAUACAUCGGAAUCUACUUUUUCGUGGGGGAUAACGUAGGGAAACUUACGCUAAUACCGCAUAUGACCUACGGGUGAAAGCAGGGGAUCUUCGGACCUUGCGCGAUUGAAUGAGCCGAUGUCGGAUUAGCUAGUUGGCGGGGUAAAGGCCCACCAAGGCGACGAUCCGUAGCUGGUCUGAGAGGAUGAUCAGCCACACUGGAACUGAGACACGGUCCAGACUCCUACGGGAGGCAGCAGUGGGGAAUAUUGGACAAUGGGCGAAAGCCUGAUCCAGCCAUACCGCGUGGGUGAAGAAGGCCUUAGGGUUGUAAAGCCCUUUUGUUGGGAAAGAAAAGCAGCAGGUUAAUACCCCGCUGUUCUGACGGUACCCAAAGAAUAAGCACCGGCUAACUUCGUG